AGUGAACGCUGGCGGUAGGCCUAACACAUGCAAGUCGAACGGCAGCACAGUAAGAGCUUGCUCUUACGGGUGGCGAGUGGCGGACGGGUGAGGAAUACAUCGGAAUCUACUUUUUCGUGGGGGAUAACGUAGGGAAACUUACGCUAAUACCGCAUACGACCUACGGGUGAAAGCAGGGGAUCUUCGGACCUUGCGCGAUUGAAUGAGCCGAUGUCGGAUUAGCUAGUUGGCGGGGUAAAGGCCCACCAAGGCGACGAUCCGUAGCUGGUCUGAGAGGAUGAUCAGCCACACUGGAACUGAGACCCGGUCCAGACUCCUACGGGAGGCAGCAGUGGGGAAUAUUGGACAAUGGGCGCAAGCCUGAUCCAGCCAUACCGCGUGGGUGAAGAAGGCCUGCGGGUUGUAAAGCCCUUUUGUUGGGAAAGAAAAGCAGCAGGUUAAUACCCCGCUGUUCUGACGGUACCCAAAGAAUAAGCACCGGCUAACUUCGU
rnacentral:rRNA from 1 species